GAGCACGUAGGUGGGUUUGUAAGUCAGAUGUGAAAGCCUUCUGUUCAACGGAAGAAUUGCAUCUGAAACUGCGAGUCUUGAGUGUAGGAGGGGAGAAUGGAACUUCUGGUGGAGCGGUGAAAUGCGUAGAUAUCGGAAGGAACGCCGGCGGCAAAAGCGAUUCUCUGGCCUAUUACUGACACUCAGUGUGCGAAAGCUAGGGGAGCAAACGGGAUUAGAUACCCCGGUAGUCCUAGCCGUAAACGAUGGGCACUAAGUAGAGGGGUUUU
rnacentral:rRNA from 1 species